GAAGACCUCUGAAUGGAUCACCAACUCUGAAUCGAAGACCCAAAGCUCUCCUUCCAGGCGCGAAUGAAGCUCUGAAUAGAAGACCUGCUCUCCUUUCACACUUCUUCUCUUCGUCGUCGACUUCGCCACUGAAUCUCAGAACAAAGUACAGGAAGUGGCAGCCAUCAGAAGAUGGAGGACAUAGUUUUUGUUUGGUGGAUUGGAGUCUCUUGGAAUGGUAGAAGACUAGACUGGGAAAAGCCAAUGCCUACUGGGCCCCAGUGAGCGGAAUGUGUGGCAUAAAACUUCAAGUCUUCAAGAUUGGAACACGAGACUAAGCCAUGGAUGGCUCUAAUGCAUACCGUGACGAAAAUUCGGUGAAACCAAUUCAGUACAAGUAUUCUUUGCUAGGAAGGCGGAAAUUGUGUCAGGCGAAUUCCUCAAUUUCAAAGUGGACAUAGCAUAUAUGAUAUAGAUAUUAACAAGACUCAGACGUGAAAGAGAUAUUCAGGGUCUAUAACAGAAGAAUCCAGCAUUUGUACUGAACUCCUUAGCUGAUACAAGGUUCUAAAAUAUACAAAUCUUAAGCUACUGGAGUAAGUUUUUUGGUGCAGAGGACCUGUGGACCAGAGAUGUGACAGCUUAAAAUAUAGUAUACUACAAUCUUUUACAAAGAUUCCUAAAAUUUCCAGUAAAUUAUAUAUCUCAAGAAAAUAUGCAGUAUCAGACAUAUUGCACUUCUAAAGCAUGGUUUGUAUUUUGUAAGCUCCUACACAUUCUACAUUCAGAAAAAAAACUAAUGAUGCAUCAUUGUUUAGAUAAAAA